UGCGUAGGCGGAUUGAUAAGUCAGUGGUGAAAACCUUCAGCUUAACUGGAGACUUGCCAUUGAUACUGUUAGUCUUGAGUACGGUCAAGGUAGGCGGAAUGUGUAAUGUAGCGGUGAAAUGCUUAGAUAUUACACAGAACACCGAUUGCGAAGGCAGCUUACUGGGCCAUUACUGACGCUGAGGCACGAAAGCGUGGGGAGCGAACAGGAUUAGAUACCUGGUAGUCC
rnacentral:rRNA from 1 species